AUCCAGAUGAUGAGUUCUAAAUAGGACGAAACGCGCGUCCUGGAU
rfam:Schistosoma haematobium scaffold331_15, whole genome shotgun sequence.